AGCUCUUUCCAUCCACUUGUACAAAAGAAGCCUCAAGAGAUUAGUACCAUAAUAAGAAGAAAACAAACAUGAUUCAGUUUAGAAAAAUGUAGCUAAUGUGUCUAAAGGAAAAUGGAAGUACUUAAUCAGACAGAGAGAAAUUUGGGAAGCAGUAUUAUUGGACAUGACCUGUGAUUAAUGGGGAGACAGAAAAUCAAAUAUUAAAUAGAUAAUUAUGCUUUCUGCUGAGAUGGCACUGCCGUCGUGAGAUUUGAGGUAUGAUAUUCAGUUGUGUGUAUUCCAGUUGGGUGGAAGAUGUGAAUGAGUUGGUGAGGAGUACAUAGCCUUAAAAAUAAUCAGAUGAGGAAGAUUUAAAAAUAAAGGGCUGGGACAGAGGGAAUAAUUAAUAAGAAUUAGAAUAAUAAGAAUUUGGCUAAGUGAUAGCACAAGGAAGUGUGAAGGAGCUCAUAUACACAGAAGGCUUAAGAGGGAAGAGGAACCAUGCAAUGCAACAUGAGAUGGAAUCUGAAAGUGAGAGAAAAGAGAAUUUGGGGUCAACUAGAAAAAGAAGACUGGAACAUCUCAAGACUUU